rnacentral:rRNA from 1 species
CAGUCGCCGCGGGAAUACGUAAGUGGCAAGCGCUGUCCGGAAUUAUUGGGCGUAAAGGGCUCGCAGGCGGUUUCUUAAGUCUGAUGUGAAAGCCCCCGGCUCAACCGGGGAGGGUCAUUGGAAACUGGGAAACUUGAGUGCAGAAGAGGAGAGUGGAAUUCCACGUGUAGCGGUGAAAUGCGUAGAGAUGUGGAGGAACACCAGUGGCGAAGGCGACUCUCUGGUCUGUAACUGACGCUGAGGAGCGAAAGCGUGGGGAGCGAACAGGAUUAGAGACCCCUGUAGUCCCUGUCUCUUAUAC